rnacentral:rRNA from 1 species
CAAUAGCGUAUAUUAAAGUUGUUGCAGUUAAAAAGCUCGUAGUUGGACUUCUGAUGUGGGACUGCGCCCCGGUAUUUUGCCGUUGGGUGCGGGCUCGCGUCUUCCUCUCGUAGUUGGAUGGUGCACUUAACUGGGUGCCUUCUGAAUAUGGGACCUUUACUUUGAAAAAUUAGAGUGUUCAAAGCAGGCCAACGCAUUGAAUACAUUAGCAUGGAAUAAUGGAAUAGGACUUUGGUCUUAUUUUGUUGGUUUCUAAGGCCGAGGUAAUGAUUAAUAGGGAUAGUUGGGGGCGUUUAUAUUCCGUUGUCAGAGGUGAAAUUCUUGGAUUUACGGAAGAUAAACUACUGCGAAAGCAUUCGCCAAGGAUGUUUUCAUUAAUCAAGAACGAAAGUUAGGGGAUCGAAGAUGAUUAGAUACCGU